rnacentral:rRNA from 1 species
GACGUAGGGUGCGAGCGUUGUCCGGAUUUACUGGGCGUAAAGGGCGCGUAGGCGGCCACCGCAAGUCGACUGUGAAAUCUCCGGGCUUAACUCGGAAAGGUCAGCCGAUACUGCGGGGCUAGAGUGCAGAAGGGGCAACUGGAAUUCUCGGUGUAGCGGUGAAAUGCGUAGAUAUCGAGAGGAACACCUGCGGCGAAGGCGGGUUGCUGGGCUGACACUGACGCUGAUUGUGCGAAAGCUAGGGGAGCGAACGGG